rnacentral:rRNA from 1 species
CNNAUNCUCGAGGUACNCAUCUGGAACGGUGGCUAAUACCGGAUGUGCCGGAAGGUGAAAGAUUUAUUGCCUAGAGAUGAGCUCGCGUCUGAUUAGCUAGUAGGUGUGGUAAGAGCGCACCUAGGCGACGAUCAGUAGCUGGUCUGAGAGGAUGAUCAGCCACACUGGGACUGAGACACGGCCCAGACUCCUACGGGAGGCAGCAGUGGGGAAUUUUCCGCAAUGGGCGAAAGCCUGACGGAGCAAUACCGCGUGAGGGAGGAAGGCUCUUGGGUUGUAAACCUCUUUUCUCAGGGAAGAAAAAAAUGACGGUACCUGAGGAAUAAGCAUCGGCUAACUCCGUGCCAGCAGCCGCGGUAAUACGGAGGAUGCAAGCGUUAUCCGGAAUGAUUGGGCGUAAAGCGUCCGCAGGUGGCAAUGUAAGUCUGCUGUUAAAGAGUGAGGCUCAACCUCAUAAGAGCAGUGGAAACUACAUAGCUAGAGUGCGUUCGGGGCAGAGGGAAUUCCUGGUGUAGCGGUGAAAUGCGUAGAGAUCAGGAAGAACACCGGUGGCGAAAGCGCUCUGCUAGGCCGCAACUGACACUGAGGGACGAAAGCUAGGGGAGCGAAUGGGAUUAGAUAUUCUACAUACUCAUUCUUCGUAGGUUUGAAAAACCCGGAAAAUGGG